rnacentral:hammerhead_ribozyme from 1 species
AUACAUCUGACGAGUCCUAAAUAGGACGAAACGUGCGUCCUGGAU